UGUUUAUAUUGACUGUUUAUUAAUCACAAAUUUACUGAGGAAUAUAAAAAAGAGAAAAAGGUAUAGAUUGAUGAGGAACCAAAAGGGGUAAGGGAGAAGAAAUUAAGCCAAAACAAUAAACCAGAUGGCAGAAACUAUCUUUAAAGAUCAAAUCAGUCCUGGGCUGGAGUGCCAGCUGUUUCCUUUACACACUGUGGACAAGUUCAUUGACCUCUCUGAGUUUGGUUUUCUCAUUGGUAAAAUGAGAAUAACUGGAGCAUCUUGCUCCCAGUGGGCUGUUCCAGGAAUAAAUAAAAUUACCCACAACGUGCUUUCAUGUUGCCCAGCACACGAAUGUUGCCUGUUCUUAUGUUCACAGCCUGAAAUGCUGAGGGGAAAGGAUCUGAAGAUAUGAAAGUGUGUGGGAAAAUGGAGGCAGUCUAGCUUUUCGCAGCAAUCACUAAUUAGCCAGCAAUCAACGACCCGCUUGGGCUCAGACAGGACUGAGGUCAGCCAAAGCUUCUGUUACUGCCUGGAACUCUGGAGCUGUCCCAGAAUUGUUUACUUAAUUCCCCCUUAGAGGUAUACUCCCUAGCUCUGUCUCUCACUCCAUUUGGGCCUGACUCGCAGGACAACUAAUCUAAUCAGCUAAUCUAUGCUAAAUUAUUAAUAGGAUCUAAGAGGUUAAUGUGUAACAAGUAUAUACUCCAACAGAGGUAUGCUGGAGACACAAGGCCUCAGUGAGUCAUUAGAGUCUGGGUGGGAAUUCUGGGCACCAGGCAGCCCUCCUCAAAUCAAAUCAAAUUCUAGGAAGGCAUUUUAAAAAUCCUGCCAUCAAAAGUAAUUCAUAUGUGAAUACUAUCCAAUCAACAAACGGGCAGGCCAAAAAAAUCCUCUAACUAGACCGGGACAAAGGGUAUGUUUAUGAACUUUGUGACCUUAGGUAAAUCAACUUCACGGACUUCGCUGUGUCUCUGACUUCCCAUCUGCAAAAUGGAGGUUGAGCCUUUAUGAUUGUAUCCUUGGGAGCCCUACCAAGAAGUACAGUACAUUCUAAUGGGAGCGAUGGACAGAGUCCCCAGUGCCUAAUGGAGACUAAGCCAUGGUAAUUCCAAAGUCAUUCCAAUAGGUAUAAGGCACUUUAGCUGGGUGGAGAAGAACUCUCAGCUUUGACUAGUCCCGGUGUCCCAAAGAAGUAGCUGCAAGGCAGGAUUUUUAUCUGUCUGGUUAUUGAGACUGUCUCAUUCCAGAAAGAGAAAAGAGAAAAGAGAAGAGAAGAGAAGAAGAGAAGAGAAGAGAAGAGAAGAGAAGAGAAGAGAAGAGAAGAGAAGAGAAGAGAAGAGAAGAGAAGAGAAGAGCAGAGCAGAGCAGAGAAGAGAAUGGGAUCUUGGUUUGGCUGUUGGUCUCUGGUGACAUGAGGCUACAAAAUAACUACAAUCCACCACCCUCAUUUCUUUUUAAAAUACAUUUUCUUAUUAUGAAACUAUUAUAGAAUCAUGGCAAAAAUAUAAGAAUAUAAAAUUCAAAGGUGAAGAUGGCCUACGUUCCUGCCAAUCAGAAAUAAUCUGUUGAUAUUUUUCUGCAUAUUGCUUCAGACUUUUUCUUUACACACAUGUGCACCCACAUGCACUUUAUUAUUUUUUAAAAAAUGAGAUCAUAUCAUAUAUACUAAAUUAUCACUGCCCAAUCACUUAAUAUAUAUAUAUUUCUGUGUUUAUAUAUAUUUCUAUGCCAUCAUUUUUAAUGGCUGCAUAGGAAUCCAUCGAAUGCGUACCUUGUAAGUUAUUUAUCUGUCUUUUACUGAUGGGCACUUAGGUUGUUUCUAGCCUUUCGUUAUAAUAAACAACACUGUACUAAGUAUUCUCUCA